GCUAAGCAACUCAUGAACACCUCAGAGUUCGCAGAUGCCAUCCCACGUGACAUGUGACCAGAGACUAAGAGUGUAGUCAAGCGUAAUGACAAUGAUUUAUUAGCUUAAAAAAAAACAACUGGAAUGCUUCUGGUAAGAAAUAGCAUGCUCUUUCUUCUGUUCCCUUCUCUGAAACCCACAGUUAUCAACAAAGAGAACAAGAACUACAAACCCACAUCUUCAAGAAAUAAGGAACUGGCUAAACCUCCAAAGUACAGCAUUUGAACAAUACAUCCAAAUAUGGUGAACCUUGACCCAAUGGAGGAAAAACAUUGAGAGCCAGGGCAUACAGUUCCAGAUUUUAAGUAGACUGCAGCAACUACCAUUUGGAGAAGGUGGACAGUCCAGGGGAAAACUGGGCACAUCCUUGGUGGGUGAGGCGGGGAGGAGAUGAGUAAAGUUUCCUACUGCAGAAAAGCAGAAGGGAAGGUUCUGAAGAGGAAUCCCAUAUUUUCCUAAUGUCCUGCAAACCAUCCUCUUUACAAUGAGAAAUAGUCUGGAGAUAGGGAAUGGAAACAGGAGAAAACAACACUCAAGUGCUUAACAUACAUAGAUCUAUAUGUACAUACUGCAACACCAGGAACCGCAUAGAUGUCUCUGAGUGAAAUGCUCACCCCAAAGUGGGCAGCAUACCAUGCUUGCAGAGAGACAUACCCAGUCACAGGAAGUAGCAGACAUGGUGCAUCAGGCCACAAAUGAAAGAAAGAAAGAAAGAAAAGAAGGAAAGAAGGAAGGAAGGAAAAAAGAAGAAGAAAAUUUCACAUUCUCUGCUCACUGACAUCUCUUUUUCAACCAAGUCCCCCAAACCGGGCUUGAGUGAACAGCAGCCCUAGAAGGAAUGGUCUUACUUUAAAAAUGAGAAGCAAGUAGAAAGAAUCCACAUGAAUGCUCUUCAUGGAUAUUAUUUGAAAACAAUACUUAGGGAUAGGCAUAACAAGCAGAGAGCAGAAGAAAAAUGCACAUUAGAAGAAUUAUUCCAGGAAACAGAAAAAUAAAAUUUAGGAGAAAGACUAUUUCUAUACUUGCAAAAUAUUUUAAAGAAAUGAUAACUGUUAAAAGAGUUUCAAAGAGAAAAUAUUGAUUAAAUAAAAUUAGAAAACCCCACGUAAAGAGUUGAAAAGCAAGCUGGCAGACCUUAGCAAUAAACUAAAAUUUAGCAAAAAAACUACCACAGAAUUUAGCAAUAAAUCUACAAUUAAAGAGGGAAAGAAAAAAACAGUGAGUAACUGAAAACAAAAUCAGCGAUACAGAGAAUAAACAUGAAAAUAUUAUAUAAAAUACAACGGAAAAGAAUAAGAUAAAAGUGUUUCAAGAAAAGAUGAAACAGAGAGAAACAAAUCCUCAAAAACAGAAUUGCAUUCCUGAAAAUGGGAAGAGAUAAUGAAACUCCCAAAUGUUCAGUGAUAUGAAGGAGGAAAAGAUUUCUAAAAUAAAGAACUAAAUCUGCACAUGGAAAUCUAUUCCAAGAAAAACUAUAGAGAAUGAAAUAUAUCUUUGUAAAGUUAGUGAAUGUCAACAAUGACUAAACAAAGGUUUCUGUGGACACAAUGGUAGGAGGAAGUCACCUCUGAGGGGCGCAACCUCACAGACCACUGAGUUUUCCAGGGCAGCAAUCACUGCCAGAAGACAGUAGAGCAGUACCUAUGGGCCCAGAAGGGGAAAAGGUAGUGUGACCCAGGGAUUACAUGGCCGAGUUGUUACUUUGUUGUUGAUAGUUGACCGCAACAGAUCUAUUCCACUUGUAAAGACUUGAAGAAUAUAAUGACCAUGGACUCUCUUGAAAAGAAAAUCCUUGAAGAUAAGAUAAAAUACAGCCAAACAAAAAAUGGAACUAAAUCGCUGAAAGCUGAAAAGGAGUUGGGGAAUGGCAAUGAACCCUGAGACCACUGAGAAAUAGAAACAGGGCCAAACAACUGUGGAGCUUAUCAUCACAUAAUAUGAGUUAAGAGAUGCUAAAGUCUCUUAGGAAACAGAAUUGGUGUGGAAUCAAGGUGAAUUUACUCAGGUGGACAACAAUGUCACUUCAUUCCUCCAGCAGAUUUCAUCUUGCUCUCAAGGCCCUGCAGUGGCGACAGUGGGGAGGAUUUAAGAUUGCCAGUUCCAGGCCUUAGAAGCAGAAACUCCAGUACCUACGGGAAGGAUGCUGCAGCCGCGUGUCUGUGGAUACUGAAGGAGCAAUGACUUGAUGGAGAGUCAGCUGAAGAUUUUAUUCAACAAGAAAAAUAUUCUGUAGAGAAAGUACGAAUGGAUCAUGUGAAUAAGUAGGGAAAACACUGUUUAAAAGUUCAAGAGAACAGAAUAUUUUAAAAUUGUAUCUUAGAAUCUGCCACUCAUGUACACAUCUCAGAUGUGCCAGUUUCUCUCCAUCUUGCUCUAGUCUACAACAGUUAGUGAGGAGCAGCAUGUUUGAGGCCACAUUGAGGACAUAUGCUGUGGAAAGUUGUGCCUUGGCCUUAGAGCCACAGAAUUCUCAGUGCUAAUCCCCGCUCGCCACUUAAUAGCUGUGUGAGCUUUGGUAAAUCAAGGGAUUUCAAAUCACUUGAUUUCUCUGUGCCCCAAUUCCUUCUUCACCCUCUGGGGAUCUUGUAAAGACUGAGUUAGCACACAGAGUAUAUCUAGCUACUUCAUUAUAUGGCAGCAUAUGGUACCUAUAGAUACUCAAUAAAUAUUAGUUCCUUCCUCA